ACCUUGAAUGGAAAAAGUGUUAACUGGAAGUGCAUCUGAACAAAAAAGACAGUUCUCAUUUUAAUGCUGAAAGUAAGGGAUUGGGACUGAAGCAUUCAAGCCCCGUUGCUAAACUGGAAUGCACACACAUCUAAGGGUAAACCGAGAACACUGCAGGGCCAAUAGAGCAAGCUUGCAGCACUCAGCUUAAAGACAAUUUGUCCAUAGUACUGACUGGAAUAUAACACGAAUGAGGCCACUGCAUGGGAAUAAAUAUUCUUCACGACUGUCACUACAAACAACACGGAUUUCUUACUGAUGCUGACACAGAAGCACAAGCUUAUUAAAAUACUGUUGCAGUGAAGUACACGGAUGUUUUUCUAGCCACAUAUCUGUUUAAAAAGCAACCAGAAUUUUGACAGAGACCAAAAAUGUGGGCUGAUAAACUACACAGCAGUCUAGCUCUUUGACUCAGAGACUUUGAAAUAAGUUGGGUGCCAUUAUUAGUUUCUAGAGCAGAAAGGGACAGGAUUGUUGUAUUUCACAAAAAAUGAAGCACAUUUGUUCAAAGGUUGG